rnacentral:rRNA from 1 species
GUAGGUGGCAAGCGUUGUCCGGAAUUAUUGGGCGUAAAGCGCGCGCAGGCGGUCCUUUAAGUCUGAUGUGAAAGCCCACGGCUCAACCGUGGAGGGUCAUUGGAAACUGGGGGACUUGAGUACAGAAGAGGAAAGCGGAAUUCCAAGUGUAGCGGUGAAAUGCGUAGAGAUUUGGAGGAACACCAGUGGCGAAGGCGGCUUUCUGGUCUGUAACUGACGCUGAGGCGCGAAAGCGUGGGGAGCGAACAGGAUUAGAUACCCUGGUAGUCCACGCCGUAAACGAUGAGUGCUAAGUGUUAGGGGGUUUCCCGCCCCCUUAGUGCUGCAGCUAACGCAUUAAGCACUCCGCCUGGGGAGUACGGCCGCAAGGCUG